GAUGAACGCUGGCGGCGUGCCUAAUACAUGCAAGUCGAGCGAACAGACGAGGAGCUUGCUCCUCUGACGUUAGCGGCGGACGGGUGAGUAACACGUGGAUAACCUACCUAUAAGACUGGGAUAACUUCGGGAAACCGGAGCUAAUACCGGAUAAUAUAUUGAACCGCAUGGUUCAAUAGUGAAAGACGGUUUUGCUGUCACUUAUAGAUGGAUCCGCGCCGCAUUAGCUAGUUGGUAAGGUAACGGCUUACCAAGGCAACGAUGCGUAGCCGACCUGAGAGGGUGAUCGGCCACACUGUAUCUGAGACUCGGUCCAGACUCCUACGGGAGGAAGCAGUAGGGAAUCUUCCGCAAUGGGCGAAAGCCUGACGGAGCAACGCCGCGUGAGUGAUGAAGGUCUUCGGAUCGUAAAACUCUGUUAUUAGGGAAGAACAAAUGUGUAAGUAACUAGGCACGUCUUGACGGUACCUAAUCAGAAAGCCACGGCUAACUACGUG
rnacentral:rRNA from 1 species